UGGGUCUAACAUCAACAUUUCAUCAUUUCCAUAAUUCAAUCAAAUUUGAUAGAUGUAACAAUAACGUUUUCAUCAUUCACACAAUCCAAUUAAAUUUCAAUUGGUUUAAAAUCAACAUUUUCAUCAUUCCCACAAUUUAAUCAAAUCUCAUGGGUUUAACAACAACAUUUUCAUUAUUCACACAAUUCAAUCCAAUUUCAUGGGUUUAACAUCAACAUUUUCAUCAUUCCCAUAAUU
rnacentral:lncRNA from 1 species